AAAGCGUGCGCAGGCGGUUUUGUAAGUUUGUCGUGAAAUCCCCGGGCUCAACCUGGGAAUGGCGAUGAAGACUGCAAGGCUAGAAUCUGGCAGAGGGGGGUAGAAUUCCACGUGUAGCAGUGAAAUGCGUAGAGAUGUGGAGGAACACCGAUGGCGAAGGCAGCCCCCUGGGUCAAGAUUGACGCUCAUGCACGAAAGCGUGGGGAGCAAACAGGAUUAGAUACCCUAGU
rnacentral:rRNA from 1 species